rnacentral:rRNA from 1 species
AGAGUUUGAUCCUGGCUCAGAACUAACGCUAGCGGCAUGGAUUAGGCAUGCAAGUUGAACGGUUUUAUUAAUUUAAAACAGUAGCAAAAGGGUGAGUAAUACGUGAGUAAUCUACCUUCAAAUUGGGGAUAACUCUUUGAAAGAAGAAUUAAUACCGAAUGUGGUUAGUUAAGAUGAAUAAUUAUUAACUAAUUAAAGAUUUAUCGUUUGAAGAUGAGCUCACGUCCCAUUAGUUUGUUGGUAGGGUAAUGGCCUACCAAGACUAUGACGGGUAGGUGGCUUGAGAGAGUGGUCAUCCACACUGGGACUGAGACACUGCCCAGACUCCUACGGGAGGCUGCAGUCGAGAAUCUUCCGCAAUGGGCGUAAGCCUGACGGAGCAAUGCCGCGUGUAGGAUGAAGGUUUUAGAAUCGUAAACUACUGUCACUGGGGAAGAACAAAAUGACGGUACCCAGGGAGGAAGUCACGGCUAACUACGUGCCAGCAGCAGCGGUAAUACGUAGGUGGCAAGCGUUGUUCGAAUUUAUUGGGCGUAAAGAGUUCGUAGGGGGUUUGUUAAGUUUAAUAUGAAAUCCUGAAGCUUAACUUCAGAACUGUAUUAAAAACUGACAUUCUAGAGUUUCAAAGAGGAGAGUGGAAUUUCUGGUGUAGCAGUGGAAUGCUUAGAUAUCAGAAGGAACACCGAAGGCGAAGGCAACUCUCUUGGUGAAUACUGACCCUGAGGAACGAAAGCGUGGGUAGCAAACAGGAUUAGAUACCCUGGUAGUCCACGCUGUAAAUGAUGUAUGCUUGAUUUUGGAAGAUUCAAUCCUUUCAGAAUCGUAGCUAACGUGUUAAGCAUACCGCCUGGGGACUACGGCCGCAAGGCUAAAACUCAAAGGAAUUGACGGGGGCCCGCACAAGCGGUGGAACAUGUGGCUUAAUUCGAGGCUACGCGAAGAACCUUACCCAGGUUUGACAUGUACUUGAAGUGCUAUGAAAGUAGUAUGCUCGUUAGAGCAAGUGCACAGGUGUUGCAUGGCUGUCGUCAGCUCGUGUUGUGAAAUAUUCGGUUAAGUCCGAUAACGAGCGCAACCCACGUCAUUAGUUACCAUCGGGUAAUGCCGGGGACUCUAAUGAUACUGCCUGUGUUAAGCAGGAGGAAGGUGUGGAUGACGUCAAGUCAGUAUGAUCUUUAUAUCUGGGGCUGCACACGUGUUACAAUGGUUGGUACAAUGAGAGGCGAGACCGUGAGGUGGAGCAAAUCUAUAAAACCAAUCCCAGUCCGGAUUGUAGUCUGCAAUUCGACUACAUGAAGUUGGAAUCGCUAGUAAAGGCGUAUCAGCAUGACGCCUUGAAUACGUUCCCGGGCCUCGUACACACCGCCCGUCACAUCACGAGAAUCUAUUGCACCAAAAAUCAUGUAUUUUAACUUCCUUUAGGAAGAGGAUAAUGUCCAAGGUGUGGUCGGUGAUUGGGAUGAAGUCGUAACAAGGUA